CUGAUUAGUUAAUUGCAAAAGUAAACUGAGCGAACAAUGAAAUCACUAAAACAGCAAGGCAUCGACUAGGCAAACUAUCACUCUUCUAUUGUCGCUUGGUGACGGCCGAAAAGACGUGUUUGUAAUGCCUCUCAGGAGGAGAUAGGAGCUGAUUCUGUCCCGAGAAUCCUACAGUUUUGGCAUAUUUACCAGACAUGGGGAGAUGAGAGGCAUAAUUUGGACAUACACAUGUCUCCUGCCUGGUGCAUCGACAUCUUGGCUCCUGCCUGGCACAUCGACAUCCUCUGCUCCCACUCCCUCUGGACACCUGUCUGGUAUCAGCAUCCUCUGCUUCCUCAUGGCCUGGUGGUCACCCCCUUCUCCUCGCCGGGACUCUGGUGCAGUGGUUUAGAUGGUACCAUGUGUUGCUUCCUUUCACCUGGAUGGCUGUUGUGUUGCUUGGGCCACCUCGAGGCUGUAA